rnacentral:rRNA from 1 species
GAUGAACGCUGGCGGCGUGCCUAACACAUGCAAGUCGAGCGAUUUACUUCUGUAAAGAGCGGCGGACGGGUGAGUAACGCGUGGGUAACCUGCCCUGUACACACGGAUAACAUACCGAAAGGUAUGCUAAUACGAGAUAAUAUACUUUUAUCGCAUGGUAGAAGUAUCAAAGCUUGUUGCGGUACAGGAUGGACCCGCGUCUGAUUAGCUAGUUGGUAAGGUAACGGCUUACCAAGGCGACGAUCAGUAGCCGACCUGAGAGGGUGAUCGGCCACAUGGGAACUGAGACACGAUCCAAACGCUUACGAGAGGACGCAGUGGGAAAUAUUGCACAAUGGGCGAAAGCCUGAUGCAGCAACGCCGCGUGAGCGAUGAAGGCCUUCGGGUCGUAAAGCUCUGUCCUCAAGGAAGAUAAUGACGGUACUUGAGGAGGAAGCCCCGGCUAACUACGUGCCAGCCGCCGCCGUAA